UACGUAGGGGGCGAGCGUUGUCCGGAGUUACUGGGCGUAAAGCGCACGCAGGCGGUCUGCUAAGUUUGGAGUGACAGUUGGUGGCUUAACUGCCAAAGUGCUUCGAAAACUGACAGACUUGAGGGCUUCAGAGGGACACGGAAUUCCGGGGUGGAGUGGUGAAAUGCGUAGAGAUCCGGAAGGAACACCAAAGGCGAAGGCAGUGUCCUGGGGAGUACCUGACGCUCGAGGUGCGAAAGCCAGGGGAGCGAACGGG
rnacentral:rRNA from 1 species